rnacentral:misc_RNA from 1 species
AAGUCGUAACAAGGUUUCCGUAGGUGAACCUGCGGAAGGAUCAUUAACAAUUUCGCUCUUUGAGUCCCGGGAAUUGGUCAAAUAUUUGAUCUAUGAUCGGGAUUUCAAACUCGAAAAAGCUGGUCUCUCUAGAGAUAGCAAUAUUUCUUCAGAGGCUGUCUAAACAAGUAACCUGGGGUACUUUAGAGCUGAAGCCACCUUACGGUGCGUCUUUGGCUUUAGAGCCCUCUAAUAAUCCCCAUUUUAUACCAUUUUACCCCUUUAAACUAUUAAGACUGAUAUGGCAUGAUUUCAUGUCACUUAUUAAAUCUUAAAACAACUCUUAACAAUGGAUAUCUAGGUUCUG